AAAGGGUUCUACAAGGAAGGUUUAUGAAAACCUUGAGAAUAAAAAUGCAGAAUAAUCAUAUCCUUAUAGAUUGUAUCAAGACGACAGAAAUUGUAUGAUCAGACCCCUGACCAUCGCCUCAGCUCAUCAUUGCGUCAUCUGGAUGGCUUCCCUAAGCUCCCACCUGGGCCCAGAAAGGAAACGGCUUAUGACCUGCAGUCUUUGACUAUCACCAUCUCCAUUCUAUUUAUGGCCCUGCUGCACCUCUGUGCAAAUUAGGAGAAGGUGACCCUCUUGUGGGGAUGGAGGAGAAGGACAAACCAGGCCGUGAUCUGGCCAGUAAAGUGGGACUGGGCUGGCUCCUGGUGGGCUUUGGUAAGGUGUAACCUGCACCAUGGUCAUUACUGCCCAAAAUGAGAGCCAUCAGCUUGCUAAGAAUCGCUGAGCCCGGAGCGCCACUCUUGGGUGAAGAUGCUUCUUUCAGAUCCCCGCCUACCCACCUGCAAGGCUUGCAGGAAGUCUUGAGAAGAACCAAGAAGGAGGCUGAUGCUCCUAGUUGUUCAUGAGCAGCCAAUGUGGUAGGCUGAUGCCUAACAGUUUCCACCUUCUUCUGCAUUUGUGGCUGAGGAUCUACCCAUGAGCCCCACAGAGCAAGAGCUGCCAGAUUAAUGCUCCUGCCUAUGACAUGGAAAUUGUCAAAAAUAGACCUGAAUCCUUGCCAGGCCUCCCCAUGAUUUCUGUGUAGUAUGGCCUUAAAUAUAUUAGAUAAGUCAGAAGCCUAAAAUAGCUCAGCUCUUAGAAUAACAGAAUUUGGUCCCCUCCCACUUCCGUAAGUUGAAUUCUUAAUUGCUAAAUUUCAGGCUUUUUUGUUGUUGUUUAUGUAAGAAUUUCAAGGCCACAACUCCAUAUUUGAAGUAAAGUGCUCAUAAAAUUAAUUGCAAGACUUCUGAAGAGAGAUUUGCUAGGAAAAAUAAAAAGAUAUAUAAAUUUCAGUGAUGCUGAAGGUUUUGAGAAGCCAUCUGCAGCUCACAACUAGAUGAGUGACACAAUCAGAUGUGCGUAUGCAAAAAAAAGCCUGGAGACAUUGAACUAAGAUCAAAUUUAAUGUAUUAAAUAUGGUAGAAAGAAGAGAGAAUGAAAAAUAAUGUUAACAAUCUAGGUGAGGAAUUGCUGAGGAGACAAAUUAAGUAAAUCCUGUGGAAGGAAAGAAGAAAGGAGGAAAGAGGAUUGGAUGGAAGAAUCUCCACUUCUCAUAGGUGUAGUCCUUCCUUAGCCUGCUUUUUAAUGAGUGCUGCUAAAGCCCUUAGCCUGCCUGUUUACCCUUGGAGUGGAGCAAUGAACUGAAGAUAUUUGAGUGAGUUCAAGAGAGACUCAGAAGAGAAGAAUUGGAGGCAGCAAACAUAGACAGCACUUUUAAUGCUUUUCUCAUAUGCUGUAAGACAUGAAAGCAAUCUAUUGGGAUGAAAGCUGAAAGGAGAAGCGGGACAAGAGAAGUGAAUCCGUGGAAGACCCCCAAAAGAGGCUGCAGAUUCUUAGUGGACAGCUCUCAUAUCCCCUCCAGGGAAAAUGAUGAAAAAUGUCUUCAGAAAAAUAGCUUUAUGAAGGCAAGAGGACUUUUUGCACCUGCAAGACAUGUCUGAAAGCUUCCAUCAGAUUCUUGUAAGUACCUCACUUGGCACAAGGUAGACAUGACGUUCAAGGAAGUCAACUGCGUUGCCCAAGAGUAAGAGAAGGAAUCUCUGAAGAAGAGCAACUUUUCAGACAGGUAGAGUGUGCCUUGCUCCCAAGGAAAAGAGUUCUUGAAAAAAACAAAUGGGAAACAUGGCUACAAGAAAACUGGGAAGACUGCAAGAAUUUGAACAUUUCAUUUCAGGGUUUGGGGGAUCCUUACCAAGUUGAAAAUUUUAACAGAAUUCUUAGAAGACUAAUUCGAGUUGAAACCCUCUGGCAAAAACAUGCUAACUGACAAGAAAAUCAUGGGUUUUAUACAAGGAUAACAAGUGCUGGGUUGCUUAGCUAUGAGGAAGGCUAGGCUCACUGCAUACCAGAAGAUGUACAGCGUUGGAGAAUUCAGGGAUUUUUAUCAACAAUCAAACUAUAUUUGUGGAAAUUUUGUGCAUAAGUGCCAAAGAUGGCUGACAUCGGACCACAUUCUAUUUAACUCAACUGAAUGACACCAAGCUCUCAUCCUAAAACUUAUAGUUACAUCCACCCUUCUGAAAUAUUUAAUUAUUCUCCAAUACACUGGAGGUAAUAGGUAUAAAAAGAAUGAGCAUGUGCAACUUAGUAUCUCAUAUCUAAUUUUGUGUCCCAAGUUCAUUCUUCCCCUGAAUGUCCCAUGUCUACCAGGUGCAGGAUUAUCUGGAUGGGUCAGUUCAAAACAAUUUCAGGGAAUAAAUUGUGUAGGGGACUCAAUUUUCUGAGACAGAAACAUAAUGUGAAUAACUCCUUUGUUAGAAAAUAAUUUCAGUGACAGAAAGCCUUUCAGUUCAUAAAGAAAACUUACAUAUCAACAAGCCUAGCUCCUCACUAGUCCCAGUGAAUGCUUACAUCAAUCAGCUCUACAAUAUCCAGUAAAGGACUUUCCAAUUCGCCUUUGAAUAAACUGAGGUAUUGGAAACAUCUAAGAAAAUGGUUUUUAAUUCUUCCUAAUCUUCAGGGAGUUCUUCCUUAUAUUGAGCUGAUAUCUGCCCUCUGUAACUUUCAACUAAUUAUUCAAAUCUCUCAAGUGAUUAUAAUUAAUUCCAUCUUAUAAGGAAUUUUUCUCAGCUUCCAGCCUCUUGAAAAUACUCUGAUAUUUUCUCUAAUAUUCAAGUGGAAAUGUAAAUGGGUAACGUAAGAGUCUGUGGGGUUAGGAGGGUGGAGGAAAGGUAAGGGAAAGCUAAUGAGAAAUAACCAAAGCAAGAAAAAGAAUUUUAUUUUCUUCAAGUUCUUUGUACAUCCAAAGUGGAAGAUUCCUAAAAUAAAUUCCCCAUACCACAUUUUAAAAAUUAGGUUAGCAAGCUUACUUUUUAAUUUAUUUAGAAGCCAACUACUUCCAUUUAUUAUUUCUUUCCAGAAUAGAACAAUUAUCACUAAUUGUUUGUCAUUAUAAUGCCAAACUAUGUUAAUAGAUGCCUAUUUUUUUAAAGGCUAAUUGCAAUCAUGAAACCAAAUAUCUAAUUAGUUUUAGAGCUUUGGACCACAUGCAUCAAUAUUUGAAUCAUUCAGGUGUAUAUUUGCUUUCUGCUUUUUUGUCUCUUCAAAAGAAGUAUUAUAUGCAUUCUGUUUAUAAUUUCUAAAUGGUCAUUUCAAAACUGAUUAUACGAGUUUAUACAAAUCAUACUGAAAUUUGUUGCUUAAAAAAUCUUCAUUUUUCUCUAAGCUCUCAGUGUCCUUGAGCUAUAUAUAUUUUAUGGCAAUUUUUACUUAAUAGUUUGUAUGCUAGUUAUUUUUGACAAUGACUACUAAAAUGCAAGUUUCUUCAAGGGCAGAUUCACCUUAGUUCUUCUUUAUACCCCUCAAAAACCUCAGGGUUAUUCUCAAUAAGUAUUGAGUAGGUGAGUGAACUUUGGAUGUAUACUCCUUGAAAUUAUAUUUCUGGAGCUGGAAAACUUUAAAAAAAUGUAUGUCAUGAGUCUAAAGAAAUAAACAUUAUAUGGCUGAAAAAAUACUUUGUGAAAACCAAAAAUCUCAUGGAAUCAUGAACUUAUCUAUGGGACAGAUGUUAGCCCUGAGGUUGUUCUGGGCUUCUUUUCUACCCACUUCCCAUGACCAAAUCAGUUCACUAGUCAGCAGUUCUAUCCUUCCUCUCCUUCUCCUUCCAUCUAAGGAGCUAGAGCUGAACUGCUUGGCCACUGAUUGCUGACAUGCUGAGUUUUCUACAGCUGGAGUUUUCAAGAGGGCUUUGAUUUUGCUUUCCCCAGUUUUCCUUCUUCCACACUUGAAAAGUGGUAAGGGUACCAGCUUUCUGUCUAUCUCUGACUCUCUCUCUCUCUUUCACACACACACACACACACACACACACACACACACACACUUUUUUUUUUCUUCCACCCUCCUGCACAGCAGGAGACCUUGCCUUGAUCUUUGAAGGUCUACAGCAAGUGGUCUAGGCUAACUCAGUGCUGGGCAAAUGGAGCAAAAACUCUUUUCUGCUUCCUUGCCUCCAUGUCUUUCAGAGCUAGCAGAUACAGCUUUUGUUCUAUAGGAGUGAUUCUUUCUAAAUGUCAGCUCAACAGGAUGAUGGUCACUCUUGUAUAUCACUUAGGCAUGAGUUCUGUUGAAUCCCA
rnacentral:lncRNA from 10 species